rnacentral:rRNA from 1 species
GAUGAACGCUGGCGGCGUGCCUAAUACAUGCAAGUCGAGCGAACAGAUGAGGAGCUUGCUCCUCUGACGUUAGCGGCGGACGGGUGAGUAACACGUGGAUAACCUACCUAUAAGACUGGGAUAACUUCGGGAAACCGGAGCUAAUACCGGAUAAUAUAUUGAACCGCAUGGUUCAAUAGUGAAAGACGGUUUUGCUGUCACUUAUAGAUGGAUCCGCGCCGCAUUAGCUAGUUGGUAAGGUAACGGCUUACCAAGGCAACGAUGCGUAGCCGACCUGAGAGGGUGAUCGGCCACACUGGAACUGAGACACGGUCCAGACUCCUACGGGAGGCAGCAGUAGGGAAUCUUCCGCAAUGGGCGAAAGCCUGACGGAGCAACGGCGCGUGAGUGAUGAAGGUCUUCGGAUCGUAAAACUCUGUUAUUAGGGAAGAACAAAUGUGUAAGUAACUAUGCACGUCUUGACGGUACCUAAUCAGAAAGCCACGGCUAACUACGUG